UAGGGAAUCUUCCGCAAUGGACGCAAGUCUGACGGAGCAACGCCGCGUGAGUGAAGAAGGAUUUCGGUUCGUAAAACUCUGUUGUUAGAGAAGAACAGCGCAUAGAGUAACUGUUAUGCGUGUGACGGUAUCUAACCAGAAAGCCACGGCUAACUACGUGCCAGCAGCCGCGGUAAUACGUAGGUGGCAAGCGUUGUCCGGAUUUAUUGGGCGUAAAGCGAGCGCAGACGGUCAAUUAAGUCUGAUGUGAAAGCCCCCGGCUCAACCGGGGAGGGUCAUUGGAAACUGGUUGACUUGAGUGCAGAAGAGGAGAGUGGAAUUCCAUGUGUAGCGGUGAAAUGCGUAGAUAUAUGGAGGAACACCAGUGGCGAAGGCGACUCUCUGGUCUGUAACUGACGCUGAGGCUCGAAAGCGUGGGUAGCAAACAGG
rnacentral:rRNA from 1 species